rnacentral:tRNA from 1 species
GGAGAGAUGGCCGAGCGGCUAAAGGCGCGAUCUUGGAAAGAUCGAUUGGAUUUAAUCGAUCCAACGGGGGUUCAAAUCCCCCUCUCUCCG